UCAUACCCCAGAAUAGGUUUUGGUUCAUCCCGCAGCGCCAGUUCUGCUUACCAAAAGUGGCCCACUAGGCACUCA